GAAUUUAAACCCCUUCCAGAGUAUCAAUUGGAGGGCAAGUCUGGUGCCAGCAGCCGCGGUAAUUCCAGCUCCAAUAGCGUAUAUUAAACUUGUUGCAGUUAAAAAGCUCGUAGUUGAAUUUCUGCUGCAUCGUGGUUCUUCGCCAUGUCGAGUGAUCUUCGUUGUGGCUUAGUUGGGGCAUGUUUUCAUGACUCGACGUUUACUUUGAGAAAAUUAGAGUGCUUCAAGCAGGCUUUUGCCUUGAAUACUUUAGCAUGGAAUAAUGGAGUAGGACUUUGGUUCUAUUUUGUUGGUUUUAGGAGCCGGAGUAAUGGUUAAUAGGAACAGUUGGGGGCAUUCGUAUUUGACUGUCAGAGGUGAAAUUCUUAGAUUUGUCAAAGACGAACUACUGCGAAAGCAUUUGCCAAGGAUGUUUCCAUUAAUCAAGAACGAAAGUUAGGGG
rnacentral:rRNA from 1 species